CCCACAGCCACAACUGGGACUCCACACAAAUGACCAAGGAUUUUAUGGGGGAGAGACGCUUUCUGCUGGAAAAGCAUGAGACUCUCACAACUCUCUACCAUGAGGAGGGGAAUUCCUCUCUCUUGGUGGGAGCGGAGGGAAAGCUCUACUACUUCGACUUUGAGCGCUUCAGUAACCACACGGAGGACUUCCCUGAACAGGAUUCAGAAG
rnacentral:lncRNA from 1 species